AAAAAGAUAAGCUAAUUAAGCUAGCGGGCUCAUACCCCGCCAAUGGGAAUUACAAACUCCCUCUUUUUG
rnacentral:tRNA from 1 species